rnacentral:rRNA from 1 species
AUUGAACGCUGGCGGCAGGCCUAACACAUGCAAGUCGAACGAGUGGCGGACGGGUGAGUAAUGUCUGGGAAACUGCCUGUUGGAGGGGGAUAACUACUGGAAACGGUAGCUAAUACCGCCUACCAUCCGAUUUGCCCAGCUGGGAUUAGCUAGUGGGGGGGGAAACGGCUCACCUAGGCGACGAUACCUAGCUGGUCUGAGAGGAUGACCAGCCAAACUGGAACUGAGAAACGGCCCAGACCCCUACGGAAGGAAGCAGUGGGAAAUAUUGCAAAAUGGGGGAAAGCCUGAUGAAGCAAUGCCGCGUGUAUGAAGAGGGCCUUCGGGUUGUAAAGUACGUUAAGCGGGGAGGCGGUACACGAAGAAGAAGCACCGGCUAACUACGUGCCAGCAGCCGCGGUAAUAC